GACGAACGCUGGCGGCGUGCCUAAUACAUGCAAGUCGAACGCUGAAGGAGGAGCUUGCUUCUCUGGAUGAGUUGCGAACGGGUGAGUAACGCGUAGGUAACCUGCCUGGUAGCGGGGGAUAACUAUUGGAAACGAUAGCUAAUACCGCAUAACAGUAGAUAUCGCAUGAUAUCUACUUGAAAGGUGCAAUUGCAUCACUACCAGAUGGACCUGCGUUGUAUUAGCUAGUUGGUGAGGUAACGGCUCACCAAGGCGACGAUACAUAGCCGACCUGAGAGGGUGAUCGGCCACACUGGGACUGAGACACGGCCCAGACUCCUACGGGAGGCAGCAGUAGGGAAUCUUCGGCAAUGGACGGAAGUCUGACCGAGCAACGCCGCGUGAGUGAAGAAGGUUUUCGGAUCGUAAAGCUCUGUUGUAAGAGAAGAACGAGUGUGAGAGUGGAAAGUUCACACUGUGACGGUAUCUUACCAGAAAGGGACGGCUAACUACGU
rnacentral:rRNA from 1 species